rnacentral:rRNA from 1 species
UACGUAGGGUGCGAGCGUUAAUCGGAAUUACUGGGCGUAAAGCGUGCGCAGGCGGUUCGUUGUGUCGGUGGUGAAAUCCCCGGGCUUAACCUGGGAAUUGCGCUUGAAACUAGCGGGCUUGAGUGUGGCAGAGGGGGGUGGAAUUCCACGUGUAGCAGUGAAAUGCGUAGAGAUGUGGAGGAACACCGAUGGCGAAGGCAGCCCCCUGGGUCAACACUGACGCUCAUGCACGAAAGCGUGGGGAGCAAACAGG